rnacentral:rRNA from 1 species
CUGAUUAUAUUAAAGAGCCGCAGUAUUCUGACUGUGCGAAGGUAGCAUAAUAAAUUGUCUUUUAAAUGGAGGCUUGAAUGAAAGGUUGGACAAAGUAUCAUCUGUUUCUUAAAUAUUUAUUGAAUUUGACUUUCAAGUGAAAAGGCUUGAAUAAAUUAAAAAGACGAUAAGACCCUAUAAAUCUUUACAAUAAACAUGUUCUAUAUUUUAAUUUAUAAGUAUAUAAAAUAUUAAAUUUGUAUUUGUUUCGCUGGGGCGGCGUGGAUAUAUUAAUAAACUGUCUAUGUGUUAAAUCCAAUAAUUAUUGAUUAGUGAGAUUGAUCCUUAAAUAGAUUAAAAGAUUAAGAUACUUUAGGGAUAACAGCGUUAUUUUUUUUGAGAGUUCUUAUCGAAGAAAAAGUUUGCGACCUCGAUGUUGAAUUAAAGUAUCUUUAUGGUGCAGUCGCUAUAAGAGAGAGUCUGUUCGACUUUUAAUACUUUACAUGAUCUGA